GAUGAACGCUGGCGGCGUGCCUAAUACAUGCAAGUCGAGCGAACAGACGAGGAGCUUGCUCCUCUGACGUUAGCGGCGGACGGGUGAGUAACACGUGGAUAACCUACCUAUAAGACUGGGAUAACUUCGGGAAACGGGAGCUAAUACCGGAUAAUAUCUUGAACCGCAUGGUUCAAUAGUGAAAGGGGGUUUUGCUGUCACUUAUAGAUUGAUCCGCGCCGCAUUAGCUAGUUGGUAAGGUAACGGCUUACCAAGGCGACGAUGCGUAGCCGACCUGAGAGGGUGGUCGGCCACACGGGACCUGAGACACGGUCCAGACUCCUACGGGAGGCAGCAGUAGGGAAUCUUGCGCAAUGGGCGAAAGCCUGACGGAGCAACGCCGCGUGAGUGAUGAAGGUCUUCGGAUCGUAAAACUCUGUUAUUAGGGAAGAACAAAUGUGUAGGUAACUAUGCACGUCUUGACGGUACCUAAUCAGAAAGCGCCGGCUAACUACGUG
rnacentral:rRNA from 1 species